GAUGAACGCUGGCGGCGUGCCUAACACAUGCAAGUUGAGCGACCGACCAGGGCUUGCCCUGGGGCAAAGCAGCGAACGGGUGAGUAACACGUGGGUAACCUACCCCGAUAACCGGCACAACCCGAGGAAACUCGGGCUAACACCGGAUGUGCACACUGGACUUCGGCUUAGUUCGUAAGGGAAGCUCGGUCUUCCUUACCCUGAUGGGCCCGCGGCGCCUUCGUUAGUUGGUGAGUUAGGGGCUCACUAAGCCAGCGAUGGAUAGCUGGUCUGAGAGGGCGAGCGGCCACACUGGAACGGAGACACGGUCCAGACUCCUACGGGAGGCAGCAGUAGGGAAUCUUCCGCAAUGGGCGAAAGCGUGACGGAGCAGCGCCGCGUGGGUGAUGAAGGUCUUCGGAUCGUAAACCUCUGUUAGUAGGGAAGAAGAUAGGUGGAAGAAACUGUGCACAUCUUGACGGUACCUAAUCAGAAAGCCACGGCUAACUACGUG
rnacentral:rRNA from 1 species